rnacentral:rRNA from 1 species
AACGCGAAGAACCUUACCCAGGCUCGAAAUGUAAUGGACGAUAUCAGAGACGAUAUUUUCCGCAAGGACCGUUAUAUAGGUGCUGCAUGGCUGUCGUCAGCUCGUGCCGUGAGGUGUUUGGUUAAGUCCAGCAACGAGCGCAACCCUUAUCAUUAGUUGCCAACACGUAAGGUGGGGACUCUAGUGAGACUGCCCAGGUUAACUGGGAGGAAGGUGAGGAUGACGUCAAGUCCGCAUGGCCUUUAUGUCCGGGGCUACACACGUGCCACAAUGGUCGGUACAGAAGGCAGCAAGACCGCAAGGUGGAGCAAAUCCGUAAAGCCGAUCACAGUUCAGAUUGUAGUCUGCAACUCGACUACAUGAAGUUGGAAUUGCUAGUAAUGACGUGUCAGCAACAACGUCGUGAAUACGUUCCCGGGCCUUGUACACACCGCCCGU